CGCAAGCCUGAUGCAGCAACGCCGCGUGAGGGACGAAGGCCUUCGGGUUGUAAACCUCUUUUAGUAGGGAAGAAGCGACUGGGUUUUCCUGGGGGUGACGGUACCUGCAGAAAAAGCACCGGCUAACUACGUGCCAGCAGCCGCGGUAAUACGUCGGGUGCAAGCGUUGUCCGGAAUUAUUGGGCGUAAAGAGCUCGUAGGCGGUUUGUCGCGUCUGCUGUGAAAACCCGAGGCUCAACCUCGGGCCUGCAGUGGGUACGGGCAGACUAGAGUGCGGUAGGGGAGAUUGGAAUUCCUGGUGUAGCGGUGGAAUGCGCAGAUAUCAGGAGGAACACCAAUGGCGAAGGCAGAUCUCUGGGCCGUAACUGACGCUGAGGAGCGAAAGCAUGGGGAGCGAACAGGAUUAGAUACCCUGGUAGUCCAUGCCGUAAACGUUGGGAACUAGAUGUGGGGACCAUUCCACGGUCUCCGUGUCGCAGCUAACGCAUUAAGUUCCCCGCCUGGGGAGUACGGCCGCAAGGCUAAAACUCAAAGGAAUUGACGGGGGCCCGCACAAGCGGCGGAGCAUGCGGAUUAAUUCGAUGCAACGAAGAACCUUACCAAGGCUUGACAUAUACCGGAAACGGCUGGAAACAGUCGCCCCGCAAGGUCGGUAUACAGGUGGUGCAUGGUUGUCGUCAGCUCGUGUCGUGAGAUGUUGGGUUAAGUCCCGCAACGAGCGCAACCCUCCUCCUAUGUUGCCAGCACGUAAUGGUGGGAACUCAUGGGAUACUGCCGGGGUCAACUCGGGGGAAGGUGGGGAUGACGUCAAAUCAUCAUGCCCCUUAUGUCUUGGGCUUCACGCAUGCUACAAUGGCCGGUACAAAGGGCUGCGAUAUCGCAAGGUGGAGCGAAUCCCAAAAAGCCGGUCUCAGUUCGGAUUGAGGUCUGCAACUCGACCUCAUGAAGUCGGAGUCGCUAGUAAUCGCAGAUCAGCAACGCUGCGGUGAAUACGUUCCCGGGCCUUGUACACACAUCCAUAUGACUAGUA
rnacentral:rRNA from 1 species